CCCGCCCCCCGAGCCCCUCCCUCAGGAGCAGCCGCGGGCCCCGGGGCCGGGCAGGGAGGGGCGGGGGCUGGCGGCGCUGCCCCCGGGAGCAGAACGGGCCCUGAAGCGCUGGCGGGGGCGGGGGCGGCGUCCCCGGGGGGUUCGCGCCGGGAGCCGCCGCCCCCGUGGUGCAAGUUCCCGGUGUCCUCGGUCGCGUUUUCGGUAACGGCGGCGGGAGGGGCUCGGGGCGACGGGCGCGGGCGGGGCGGGCGGGCCCGGCGCUGGGCUCACACCCGCCCGCCCCGCCGGUGGCGGCUCCCCCGCGUCCUCCGUGAGCAGCAAGAGCAGGAGGAGGCCCGGAAGGCUCGGGGCAGGGAGGUCGCGGUGACCCUGGCGCCACAAAGCACUGGAAGUCUGAGGACUAACCAAGAGAAGAAAAGAUGUUUGUGAUGGCGACCUCUCGGAUUGUUUUGUAGUGGCUGGCAGCAAACCGAUGCCCCUCUCCAAGAGAUUCUCAGAGGAAGAUGUGGGAGACCCUUUACAGGGACAGCACAAUCUCCUGCAUGCUUCUUGUUGUACAAGCAGCAUUUGCUGCAGUUCCCUGUAGAAGAGCUUUCUCAGAAGCCAGUGAAGUACCAGGCACAGUAAUUUACCAAUAAGAUCCCACACAGUUGAUGUCACCAUGUAAGAGAAGAUGGACAGUACUCUUUCUGACAGGGAUUUAAAAAAAAAAGUUCUUCUCUUUGGAGAGUACAUAAAUAAUGAGAAAAUGAGGUCAUGUGGGAUAAAUUAUAUGAUGGAAUGAGAUAUGGGAUGGAAUGGGGUGUUUGCAAGUCUCCCUGACCAUUCUUAGGGAGAAGCAAAUGCUGCUUCCAGCUGGGAGCUGGCAGGAACAGAACUGUGCGCUGUGCUUCACGCAUCUGGCAGAAGGGCGAGGGAAGGGCACAUGCAGGUAUGUGCUGCUGGUAGUGUACAUCAACCCACAGUAUGUGUGCAUCUGGACACUCAAAGAAUGUUCCAACCUGUCCCUGACACAUAUUAGCAUACUAAGUACUAGAUACAAAAACAUUCAAGGUCAAGCUUUAGACAACUUCCUUCUGUUUUUUGCAGUUCUGAGCUGACUUCUUCCAACACUUGCUGUUCUAGAAGUAUGUCUCUGAAGGGAACAGGACUUUCUUGAAUCUCUGUGAUAAAACGGCAGAAUCUUAGUAACAACAAUAGGACGUGUCACCAGGUUGUAGGUAGUCCUAAGAGCAUGACCAAGCUGAGGCAGCCAUCUAUAAAACCCUUGCUGGGGAGCUGCACCAUCUGUGUCUUCAAGUACAGAGAAUCAGCUACACUUCAGAAGCAUGCCAGGAUCAGUCCCUUUCAAAAAAACUAGUGCCAGGAAGACUGCAGUGAUUUGUGUGGUUUAGGUUCCCUCGUUUUCAGCAGAUUAAAGACUUGGAGGGUAGAGACUGUAGGCCAGUAGCAGCCUGCUGUUUCAUGACCUAGGACAUGGUUUGUGUCUUCUAUCAACAGGGCUAGAGGUAGUGUUAACACAACUGGGAGGGAGGCAUCAAUGAAAAUUCCAGAGACCAUACAAAAGUCAAAUUCUGAUUAGUUUCAUCUGGUCACCAACACCUCCUUUAAGGACAAUGGCAUCUUUAACACAAGAGCAGAGGGAAAACUUAAGUAAGCAAGUUUCAAAUGGCAAAGGGUGUGGGGAAAAUGUAUCAUACCUUCAGCACUUGGUCCUUCCACUGUGCAGGGGUGGAAAUAGGUGGUCCAUGACGUUCCUUCCAAGCCUACAUGUCGUUUUGCUGCUGACUAAAACAAGAAAGACAGUGAGCAAAUGCUGGUUUCACCGCCUACCAGGAAAAGCAACUUCGAGUCAUCAUUUGUAGCAGUAGAGCUACAUCCUGAUAAAAAAUACAUCAAGUUCUCAGUGACCCCUCAUUUCCACAGGAGACGUUGACGACAGCUGUCACCCCAUUAGUCACACUUCAAAAUUCCAAGCCACCUGCCAGGACAGAGAGCAGUGUGCUAACAAAUUUGUUAACAAUGUCACCCUAGAACAAGAGACUGGAGUACUGAGAGAACUCAUGCUUUAAUAGACACUGAAAUCACAAAGGAAGAAGGCCAAAUGCCUUAGCAAUUUCAAUAAAAAUAUGAAAAUCUUUUUACAUGGUAAAUUUCAUAAUAUAAAAAGUUUAAUGCUGUCUGGAAACAGUUUUAAUUUACAAAAAAAGUCCAUAUAGGCCAAACAUGGCUAACACUGCAUACAAGGAGAGCAAGUGCUAAAGGGCUGCUGCUUGGAAGAGUCUUUGCUGACAAUCCUUUCUGAGUUAUCAUCUUCAACGCUCUUUGAAGGAGUUCUGCAACCAAGGGGCCAAGUUUUCCAUGUUCAUUCACAACUUUUCUGGUCUGCAUGGCAAUGCAAUAAAUCCAAACCAUUAUCAUCACCUAGCCUGAAACUACCAGUGUUUCUUUGCAGAUUCACAGAUUUUCUGUCCUCCUGUUCUGCAACUUGGAAGAGAUGGUCACAGAACCAGUUUGAUCUAAUGAGAGGAAAUAUGGCCAAGAGUGAUAUACAUGGGUGUAGCACCCCUUCAAUGCUUUUUCCUUGUUUAAAUAAGGUAUCAUGAAAAAGAAGGAAAAUCAGUAACCAGUCAGAGUUCAGGCUAACCAACAAAAUCAAAUUAAA